CCAAUGGAUCCUCGUUAAAUCUUUUAACGAGGAUCUAUUGUGGGGCAAGUCUGGUGCCAGCAGCCGUGGUAAUUCCAGCUCCAAUAGCGUAUACUAAAGUUGUUGCGGUUAAAAAGCUCGUAGUUGGAUCUCAGCUCGAGCCGGGCGGUCCGCCUACCGGUGGUCACUGUCUGUGCUCGGCGUUAUCGCCGGUUUCCCCCUUAUGAUCUUCACCGGUUGUCUCGGGUGACCGGCAAGUUUACUUUGAAAAAAUUAGAGUGUUCAAAGCAGGCGCGACGCCUGAAUAAUGGUGCAUGGAAUAAUGGAAUAUGACCUCGGUUCUAUUUUGUUGGUUUUCGGAACACGAGGUAAUGAUUAAGAGGGACAGACGGGGGCAUUCGUAUUGCGACGCUAGAGGUGAAAUUCUUGGACCGUCGCAAGACGAACUACUGCGAAAGCAUUUGCCAAGAAUGUUUCCAUUAAUCAAGAACGAAAGUUAGAGGUUCGAAGGCGAUCAGAUACCGCCCUAGUUCUAACCAUAAACGAUGCCAGCCAGCGAUCCGGCUGUGUUCCUCAAAUGACACGCCGGGCAGCUUCCGGGAAACCAAAGCUUGUGGGUUCCGGGGGAAGUAUGGUUGCAAAGCUGAAACUUAAAGGAAUUGACGGAAGGGCACCACCAGAAAUGGAGCCUGCGGCUUAAUUUGACUCAACACGGGAAAACUUACCCGGCCCGGACACAGGAAGGAUUGACAGAUUAAGAGCUCUUUCUUGAUUCUGUGGGUGGUGGUGCAUGGCCGUUCUUAGUUGGUGGGGCGACUUGUCUGGUUAAUUCCGAUAACGAACGAGACUCUAGCCUACUAAAUAGACGUCCAGAUCCUCUUGCGUCGGACGUUCUUCUUAGAGGGACAGGCGGCGUUUAGCCGCACGAGACAGAGCAAUAACAGGUCUGGGAUGCCCUUAGAUGUCCGGGGCCGCACGCGCGCUACAUUGAAGGAAUCAGCGUGUUCUCUCCCUGUCCGUCAGGACUGGGUAACCCGUUAAACCUCCUUCGUGCUUGGGAUAGGGGCUUGCAAUUGUUCCCCUUUAACGAGGAAUUCCCUGUAAGCGCCAGUCAUAAGCUCGUGUUGAUUACGUCCCUGCCCUUUGUCCACACCGCCCGUCACUACUACCGAUUGAAUGAUUUAGUGAGGUCUUUGGAUUGGCCUUCGU